AAAUUGAAGAGUUUGAUCAUGGCUCAGAUUGAACGCUGGCGGCAGGCCUAACACAUGCAAGUCGAACGGUAACAGGAAGCAGCUUGCUGUUUCGCUGACGAGUGGCGGACGGGUGAGUAAUGUCUGGGAAACUGCCUGAUGGAGGGGGAUAACUACUGGAAACGGUGGCUAAUACCGCAUAACGUCGCAAGACCAAAGAGGGGGACCUUCGGGCCUCUUGCCAUCAGAUGUGCCCAGAUGGGAUUA
rnacentral:rRNA from 3 species